GAGGAAGGAAAACUUUGCACUUUUCUCCUGCGUAAUUGCUUGAACUGAGUUAUCUCAUCUAAGAUUUACAUCAUUUGUUCCUUUGUUUCUCAGGCCUUUGAGCUUAUACUGAAUUAUACCACCAGCUUUCCUAGGUCUUGAAGCUUACAGACAGCAGAUCUUGGGACUUCUCAGGCACCAUAAUCAAUCAUAGAUAAAUGAUCCAAUGAUUCGGAACUUGAAAAGUGGUAGCUUUAUGAAUUCUCCUUAAGAAGAAACCUGUGCCCCGAUCUUGCCUACUCACCCAAAGGCACUGUGAGAUAGCAUCAAAGGAACAGCUAGUAAGAGACACAGAGCCAGAAAUCAGGGAAGUAAAAUACACUUGACAUCUACAUUCGGAAAGAAAUUUUAGGAGGCAGAAGCAAAUGGAUCAGAAGCUGCUUAUAUUUUUGCAAGAUUACCAAAGAAACCAUUGGUGGAGAAAGUUCUGUGACCAACUUGUCUGAGUCUAGCUCCGGAAAGCUGCCUAAAGUAGAUGGAGUCUUCUCUGUGUGUGCCCCACUGGUCCUGCAGUUGAAGGAUCCGGUAAAGCAGCCUGCCCUGGGUUUUACACUCCAGAGGAACGUGAUUCGCUGGACUAAAGCAUUGAAGUGCAUCCUGUUUCCGGGGGGCACUGGAACAGAGCCUGGUCUGUUCUAGCCAGUCCCUUUCUAUCUCAGGAUGUUGCAUUCCCAGUACAUUCUACAGUUAUUCUUGAGAACUAUAAUCAAAUAAGCAGGGAGAACUGGGAAAGCAGAGGCUCAUCGUGGAACCCUCAAGGAGCAUGUGGUCGUCUUCAUCCCUCAGUUUAUAAAUGGCCAAGGAGAGUAAUGCAACAAAAACUUCUCAGACUUAAGAGCCAGAGUUCCUAAAGAACCGUGGACAAAGGGUUCUGUCUAGUGGGCAGAAUUCAUCCAGCGAAGGUCUCCUAACUACAGAGGGUCACAUCUGGAUCUGAUGGUACCUACAGAACUUGGACUCUGAGCGACAAUCAGUGACCAGGUGUGACUUUAUAUUAUCUCUGUCAGGGAAGGGUGAGAGUGUUCAGUGUGUGAACAUAGAAUAAAAUGGUCUGGUGACCAAAAGGCUCUAUUAAAGAUAAUAUGAGAUGUUCAAAGCACUGGCUAUUUUCUUGGGAACAAAAGUUGAACUUCUAAAUCUUUCUCACAGAUUGUAGACCAAAGGAAUGAAUUCUGAUUGGCAGAAUAUAAGCCUACGUAAUAUAAAAAAGACUUCCAGGUUUGGCCCUCUGAGUCUUGACUCAUUACACACCAUCUCACAGCCUUAUUUUGCCUUUCAGCAGGAAAUUUGGAACCUAGGUUUUCCCAACCUACAUCUACAAAAUGGAAUGGGUCUGAUUCACAAGUUUUCAGAGAAAGAAGCCAACCUUAAUCAGACUGUGAUAUGAUGAGGAAAUAAAAAUUGCUGUGCUAAUCAACUGAUACUGGGAAGCAUGUUUAUUAUAAUAACAUAGUCUAUGCUUAACUUUUCGAAGAAACUAAUGAUCUGGAAUAUCGAUAAAAAGAAAAAAGAAAGAAAGCAAAAGGACAGAAAGUUUUAGUGAGAAUAUGUCACUAAAAGAAAAAUACAAAAAUCUCCAGGUAAUUGUUCUUGUCUGUCACUAUAAUCAAAGUGGUAUUUCACCCCCCAUCUGUUGUCCCUGCUUUGAUGAGUGAGAAUAGAAGAGCAGUUCCUGGUUACAUGUUGGCAACAGGAGGGUAUAAAUAUCAAAUUGCCUUAAGCACUGGCAAAGGCUUAAGAGUCCAUCCUAAAUUGAGGGAUUAUCCAGUACCCUGUUUAGAAUGGAAAUAAAUCCUUGCACAGUACUUUCAACUCAAUAACUGAAAAAAUGCAGAGAGCAAAUUCAACAAUUUGUAUUACCAACAGCCAGCUGAGUCCAACUUUCUAAAUCCAUUGGAAAACAGAAAAGCAGAAAAGCAGAAAAACAGGCAUCAGUAACUGUCCUAAAAAGUGAAGGACUCAGGAGGCUGAGGCAGCAGAAUCACUUGAACCCAGGAGGCAGAGGUUGCAGUGAGCCGAGAUGGUGCCACUGCACUCCAGCCUCGGCGACAGAGCGAGACCGUCUCAAAAAUAAAAAAAAAAAAAAAAUGUGAAGGACUGAGGGAAAGAAACAGAAUAGACCAUAAUGAGUCAGAUGCGAGAUAAGAGAAACAGGGCCCGGAACAUAUGCCCUCAGAUAGAAUAAGAACAAUAUCAAAGAUGAAAAUCCAAGAAAACACCUUGAGGAAAAUAAGAUGAUAGUAAUACUAAAUAUAUAUGUUAAAGGACUAAUUUUAAUGAGAUACCUUCACAUAGGUAGGAAGAAAAAUAAAUUCAAUGUGCAGAUAUUCCUUAUGUAUAUACCAAUGAAAGUAAAGAGACAGAUAAAAUAAGUCAGGCAAAUGCUAACAUAAGAAAAUAGAGUCACAUUAUUUAUUUUGUAAUUUGAUAUCUGAAUAUUAAAAACUUACACCUUCAAAGUGCAGAUAUAACUCCCAUGAAUGUUGACACACUAAGUAACAGUAAAAUACAUUAAGCCAAUUAGAACUGUAAGAAAAAGGAAAGCAACACAGAAUAAAAACAAGACUCAGUAGGUGAUCUUUAUCUAGAAUCAGAACAAUUAAAAUAAAAUAAUGACUGGAGAAAAACUGAAGUAAGUACUAUGUUUAAUGCCUGUAAGCAAAUAUACGUAUUUUGAAUUGUGACAUGAUUAAAAAAGAACAUAUGAUUUUCAAGUGUUCAUAUAACACAUUGAAAAAUUAAGCAUAAACUCCCCGAAAUUCUUAUACCUAAAUGUCAUAAAAUAAGUACCAAUCAUACCAACUACUUUUCUGAACAUAAUGCAGUGAGAUCUAUAAAACAACUGAUAUUUUGUGGCUGUUGUUUACCGCAUCAAAAGAAGACUAAUAAAGCAAUGUAUUUACCCUGUGAAUGUAUAUGUUCAAAUAAUUUAUAUAGACUGUACACAUAAUAUUCUUUUAAUUUUCUUUAUAUUUCUUCUUAUAUAUCCAUUUUCUAAAAUAGUGAGUUAUGCUUUUAUUCACUAGAUUUUUUUCUGUUUAAAUUUGUUUAGGUAUUAUAUUUGAUAUUUUAUUAAUUUCUGUAUUGAUGUUUAUCAUUUACUUCUUCCAGUUUUCAAAUAUUUUAUGAUUAAAAUUAUAGAUCAUUGUUUUAAGACCAUCUUAUGUAAAUAGCAAAGGUUUGAUUUGUAAUGAUUUUAUAAAUAUACAUAUUUUAAUAUAAUCAAAUUGUUAAUAUGCUGGUCUACACAUUUGCCUUUAGUUUCCAUUUUUACCCAAGAUACGCUAGACAAAUAUUUUCAUGUUAUUCUAAAGAUUAGAAUUUUUAUUUUGCUGUCAAUAGCUCUUUAAUAUCUUUCAUAUGUUCUAUCUACCUAUAUCUCUGUGUGAUCUUUGUUAAACCCAUAUUCUGAGGUUUAGAUUUCCCAACCACCCAAUACUGGUGGAAAUUCUGAUAGUUUUUGAAACCAUGUCUCAAGACUUGUCCCAUGGAAAAUAAAGGAAAUCUCUAUUCUGUCAUUGGCUGGGAACUGCUCUAGGGUGUUUACAUCCCUGGCAAUUUUUAUUUUUCUCAUGUUGAGCCUGAAAGAAAGUCACCGAUCAUGAAAUGCGAGCAUGGACAGGGACAAUUAGUCCAAAGGGAAAAAUUAGAGACACUGACUGUUCCAUUAUACGUAACUAUAUACCUAGUCACUCAAUAUAAUGAAGAGUUUCAUAAUUAGUCAAAAUGAAAUUGAACCAUAUUAAUUCUACAUGGAACAAUUCAAAAUGAAUUUAGUCUGGGUAUAGAUGGUAAAGAGAAAAAGUGAAUUUAAUUAGAACACAAUUUCAAUCAAAUUAAGUCUUUGCAUGAGUUAUCAAGGACACAAUAAAUAACUGAACAAUUCCAAAGAGUUACUUUCAUAGUAAUUUCAAAUAAUGCUCUAAUUAUCUCGAAUAUGUGUGUGCCAGAUAAAAAAAAACCUUCAAUUUUCUAGAGGAAGAGUUGAAAAUUGUGAGAAGAAAUAUUCAGAAAAAAAAAAUGUUGAUUUAUUUGCCUUAACAAUUUAAGCUUACAUAAAUAAGUAUGGACAUAAAAAUAGAGUACCACACUGGCCAUACACAGCAUGCUUGAGAUCAAUCCAUAAGGAUAAAUAUAUACAUGUACUGUAUUCCUUUCAUUGCUAUAUGUUACUUUUUGCAUCACCUCAUUUUAUGUAUUUAAAUUCAUUAGCCCCUAUGAAGUUAAUGUAUAAAAUAACUAAUUUUUUAUUUCUCUAAAAAUACUUUAUUGAAUAAUUUAUAAUUUCCCCUUAUAUUUAUAGUGAAACCACUGUUAUUUGAAGUUUGUAUAUGACUAUAAUUCUCCUCUGAUUAUAUCUGGUUUUCACUUUUUAAUUUUUAAUUAUUCUUGUAUCCCUCAAUGAACCUCAUUUAGUCAUUAUGCAUUCUUCUUUUUUUUUUUUUUUUUUUUUUUUUUUUUCUGAGAUGGAGUUUCGCUCUUUUUGUCCAUGCUGGAGUGCAAUGGCGCUAUCUCAGCUCCCUGAAACCUCUGCCUCCUGGGUCCAAGUGAUUCUCCUGCCUCAGCCUCCCAGGUACCUGGGAUUACAGGCAUGCGUCACCACGCCCAGCUAAUUUUGUAUUUUUAGUAGAGGCAGGGUUUCCCCCAGUGGCUUUUACUGAUUCUGACACAGGCCAACUCUAAGCUUGAGACAGCAGUGGAAGGGUUUCUGUGGGUGAAACAGGCGUGUCUCAGGCUUGUCAGCCAGGUAUGACAAAAUAUGUCUUAGGUUUGAUUCUCAUAUGCAUGAUGACUACAAAUAUUUUUGCAAAUGUCAGUAUUUUAACUUCAUAUAUAAACAUAAAAUCUUCAAAACACUAACACAAAUUAGAGUUCUUCUAUCAAUGCUCAUAGCUAAACAUACCAGAGUAAAGAUUUUGCAUCAGCCUCCUUUUUUGAGUAAGAAGAAAAACAAUCAAACAAGCAAAUACAUCUCAAUCAUCAAUAAAAUGAGAAGUCAACCAUGACCACUAGCCACAAACUAUGAAGAAAGACUCACUAGUGCAGUGAAAAUUAAGUGUUGAAGUAAAGCAUGGUCUCAUACUUGUACAGACCUACAGCAGUGCAAGUGCUCUCCAAAGGUAGGCUAUGCAUUAUGAGGAGUCAAAUUUAAAAAAUCUCUUCCUUCCUAUGCCAGGUAGAUGUCUAUUAAAGACUUUUGCUAACAUAAGCAGCACUGAAUGAGAGCAACAGGCAAACAAACAUUCUUUAUAGAUACAGCUAUGAUAAAGAGAGGAUACAGAGAUUAUGGUCAACAGUGCUGCACCAACUAAACUUAGUCAACUGAACUAAAUUUACUGUUAAUUCACAAAAGUAAUGCUGAAAUAUGUAUUUGCUGGAAGAAAAAAGACUUCUUAUCCAGAGCAAAACCAGAUUAUACAGGCUGAGGUACGGUGUUGGUGGAGAAGCUUUGGUCCAUAAUUAAUUCUCAGUGUGAUCACUAGAAAAUUAUCUGCAGAGAACCUAGGUGAAUUCAUAGCUUGAAAAUGAUAUGAAGAAAAAUUUGGAUAACAAAGAUGAAAAUGUUCAAAAGAGGUUAAUUAUACCACAAACUAUAUAAAUAUUAACAUACAUUUCUGCAAGCUAUCAAAGAAAUAAAGGAACAUUUUGGCUUUUUAAACAUAGAAUAAAAAAUGAUGUGAAAGUGGCGUUAAAAAUGUGAAAUGGCAACAUCAAGGAAGAAAUAGAAGAUAUCCAUAAAACUAUCACAGAAAGAAAAAGUCUAAGUAAAACAGCAGAUUGUCAUGAAUAAGGAGGUAAAUAAGGAGAAAAAAAAAUGAGUGCAAUGAAAUUAUAAAAAGAUGAACACGUUUAAAACAAGAUCCCCUAGUGUUAUCAUACAUAUGUAUAAUAUGAGACUUGGAUGAAGAGAAUAGAAGAAAUGUCUACUAAUGGGGAAAGGAGGGCUAAUAGUGCAGACUUCUUCUUAAAUACGUUUGUAGACCAGAGGAGUAAACUGAAUACACCACUACUGAGUGACUGAGCUUCUAAUGUGAGAUUUUAUUAUUUUUAACAUUUUUGCAAGUAACCAAAAAUGUUUUGCUUGGUUCACAUGAAAGUUUGAUAUAUGUGUGGUUAGUAAGCUCCAUAUUCCAACAUUUGUGUUCAAGCACAAGAUCAAAUAAAUUAAUAUAAAUAAAU
rnacentral:lncRNA from 1 species